UGGCUCAGGAUGAACGCUAGCGGCAGGCUUAAUACAUGCAAGUCGUGGGGCAGCAGGUUUGUAGCAAUACAGAUGCUGGCGACCGGCAAACGGGUGCGGAACACGUACAGAACCUUCCUUUGAGCGGGGAAUAGCCCAGAGAAAUUUGGAUUAAUACCCCAUAGUAUAAUGAAGUGGCAUCACUUUAUUAUUAAAGAUUUAUCACUCGAAGAUGGCUGUGCGGCUGAUUAGGUAGUUGGCGGGGUAAAGGCCCACCAAGCCUGCGAUCAGUAACUGGUGUGAGAGCACGACCAGUCACACGGGCACUGAGACACGGGCCCGACUCCUACGGGAGGCAGCAGUAAGGAAUAUUGGUCAAUGGAGGCAACUCUGAACCAGCCAUGCCGCGUGGAGGAUGAAGGUCCUCUGGAUUGUAAACCUCUUUUAUAUGGGACGAAAAAAGGCUUUUCUAAGUCGUCUGACGGUACCAUAUGAAUAAGCACCGGCUAACUCCGUG
rnacentral:rRNA from 1 species